UACAGAGGUCUCAAGCGUUGUUCGGAUUCAUUGGGCGUAAAGGGUGCGUAGGCGGCGAGGUAAGUCGGAUGUGAAAUCCCGGGGCUUAACCCCGGAACUGCAUUCGAUACUGCCCUGCUCGAGUACUGGAGAGGAGACUGGAAUUUACGGUGUAGCAGUGAAAUGCGUAGAUAUCGUAAGGAAGACCAGUGGCGAAGGCGAGUCUCUGGACAGUUACUGACGCUGAGGCACGAAGGCCAGGGGAGCAAACGGG
rnacentral:rRNA from 2 species